GGCGCUAUAGUGUAGCGGUUAUCACUCAGGAUUCUGAUAUCCAAAAACAAAGGCCACCUUCCUGAAACCCAGGUUCGAGCCCUGGUAGCGCCU
rnacentral:tRNA from 1 species